GACGAACGCUGGCGGCGUGCUUAACACAUGCAAGUCGAACGCUGAAGCUCAGCUUUUGUUGGGUGGAUGAGUGGCGAACGGGUGAGUAACACGUGAGUAACCUGCCUCCUUCUUUGGGAUAACGCCCGGAAACGGGUGCUAAUACUGGAUAUUCACUGGUCUUCGCAUGGGGGUUGGUGGAAAGGGUUUUUCUGGUGGGGGAUGGGCUCGCGGCCUAUCAGCUUGUUGGUGGGGUGAUGGCCUACCAAGGCUUUGACGGGUAGCCGGCCUGAGAGGGUGACCGGUAACAUUGGGACUGGGAUACGGCCCAGACUCCUACGGGAGGCAGCAGUGGGGAAUAUUGCCCAAUGGGCGCAAGCCUGAUGCAGCGACGCCGCGUGAGGGAUGGAGGCCUUCGGGUUGUGAACCUCUUUCGCUCAUGGUCAAGCCGCAACAAUGGUUGUGGUGAGGGUAGUGGGUAAAGAAGCGCCGGCUAGCUACGUG
rnacentral:rRNA from 1 species